AACGGUGUCGCCAAGUGGCAAGGCACGAGACUUUGACUCUCGCAUUUCAAUGGUUCAAAUCCAUUCACCGUUGCCA
rnacentral:tRNA from 1 species